UGGGGAAUUUUGCACAAUGGGGGAAACCCUGAUGCAGCGACGCCGCGUGAUUUAGAAGGCCUUCGGGUUGUAAAAAUCUUUUCUAUGGGAAGAAAAUGACAGUACCAUAAGAAUAAGGUCCGGCUAAAUACGUGCCAGCAGCCGCGGUAAUACGUAUGGACCGAGCGUUGUCCGGAAUCAUUGGGCGUAAAGGGUACGUAGGCGGCCCAGUAAGUUAGAAGUGAAAUAAUAUAGCUCAACUAUAUAAAGCUUUUAAAACUGCUAGGCUUGAGAGAUGGAAGGGAAAGUGGAAUUCCUAGUGUAGCGGUGAAAUGCGCAGAUAUUAGGAAGAAUACCGGUGGCGAAGGCGACUUUCUGGUCAUCAUCUGACGCUGAGGUACGAAAGCGUGGGUAGCAAACAGG
rnacentral:rRNA from 1 species